rnacentral:rRNA from 1 species
UACAGAGGGGGCAAGCGUUGUUCGGAAUUACUGGGCGUAAAGGGCGCGUAGGCGGCCUGCUAAGUCGAACGUGAAAUCCCUGGGCUCAACCCAGGAACUGCGUCCGAUACUGGUUGGCUUGAAUCCGGGAGAGGGAUGUGGAAUUCCUGGUGUAGCGGUGAAAUGCGCAGAUAUCAGGAGGAACACCGGUGGCGAAGGCGGUUCUCUGGGCAUGAUCUGACGCUGAGGAGCGAAAGUGUGGGGAGCGAACAGG